rnacentral:rRNA from 1 species
AAAAGUUACGAAGGGCACAUGGAGGAUGCCUAGGCUCUGGAAGGCGAUGAAGGACGUGACAAGCUGCGAAAAGCUGCGGGGAUCGGCAAAUACGAAUGGAUCCGCAGAUAUCCGAAUGGGGCAACCCGGUAUGAGAAGAUCAUACCAUCCGCCCGAUGAAGGCGGAGGCGAACGCGGGGAACUGAAACAUCUCAGUACCCGCAGGAAAAGAAAACAAAGAAGUGAUUCCCCGAGUAGUGGCGAGCGAAAGGGGAGAAGCCCAAACCGUUUCUGUUUCGGCAGGGACGGGGUUGAAGGACCGGCCAUAAAGGGCGCGAUUGUUGAAGUGGAACCCACCUGGAAAGGAGGAUCAUAGAGGGUGACAAUCCCGUACACGAAUCGACGAAAGCGUUCGGCCGGUAUCCUGAGUAGCGCGGGACACGAGAAAUCCUGCGUGAAACCGGCGGGACCAUCCGCCAAGGCUAAAUACUUUCCGGAGACCGAUAGUGGACCAGUACCGUGAGGGAAAGGUGAAAAGGACCUCGAAGAGAGGAGUGAAACAGACCCUGAAACCAUGUGCCUGCAAGCGGUCGGAGCAUCUGUAAAGGUGUGACGGCGUGCCUUUUGCAUAAUGAACCUACGAGUUGCUCUUGCCUGGCAAGGUUAAGUACCGAAAUGGGUACGGUAGCCGCAGCGAAAGCGAGUCUUCACAGGGCGCAUGAGUCAGCAGGAGCAGACGCGAAACCAAGUGAUCUACCCUUGAGCAGGCCGAAGUUCUCGUAACAGAGGAUGGAGGGCCGAAUCGGUAAACGUUGAAAAGUUUUCGAAUGACUUGAGGGUAGGGGUGAAAGGCUAAUCAAACUUGGAGAUAGCUCGUACUCCCCGAAAUGCAUUUAGGUGCAGCCUCGGGCAAAUUCUUACAUGAGGUAGAGCCACUGAUUGGAUGCGAGGGCUUCACCGCCUGUCAAGUCCAGACAAACUCCGAAUGCAUGUAAGGUUAUCCCGGGAGUGAGGGCGCGGGUGCUAAGGUCCGUGUCCGAGAGAGGAACAACUCAGACCAUCGGCUAAGGUCCCGAAAUAUAUGCUAAGUUGGACAAAAACGAAGUUCCGCUGCUCAAACAGCUAGGAUGUUGGCUUGGAAGCAGCCAUUCAUUUAAAGAGUGCGUAACAGCUCACUAGUCUAGUGGCGGAGCGUGGAUAAUAAUCGGGCAUAAGCAUAUUACCGAAGCUGUGGGACGGACGUAAGGUUCGUCGGUAGGGGAGCAUUCCGAAGGCAGGGAAGGUGUGAUGCGAAUCAUGCUGGAGCGUUCGGAAAAGCAAAUGUAGGUAUAAGUAACGAUAAAGGGGGCGGGAAACCCCCUCGCCGAAAGACUCAGGUUUCCUGAUCAACGUUAAUCGGAUCAGGGUAAGUCGGGGCCUAAGGAGGAUCCUUUUUGGAACAUCCGAUGGGAGAAACGGUCAAGAUUCCGUUACUGCACGAAUAAGCGAAGUGGGGACGCAGAGGUGACACCGCUGCCUGCUGACGGAAUAGCAGGUUGAAGGGUGUAGGCGCAGACCGGGGCAGGCAAAUCCGCUCCGGGAGCCGAACCUGAAAGUAUGGCGAGUCUUCGGACGAGUCAAUAAUGCGGGUAAGCGCACUGCCGAGAAAAACCGCUAAGCAUAUUAUUGGUGCACCCGUACCGCAAACCGACACAGGUAGUUGGGUUGAGUAUACUGAGGCGCUCGAGAGAUUCACGGUUAAGGAACUAGGCAAAAUGGUCCUGUAACUUCGGGAGAAAGGACGCCCUUCCUCAAGGGGAGGGCCGCAGCGAACAGAUUCAGGCGACUGUUUAACAAAAACACAAGGCUAUGCGAAUUCGAAAGAAGCGGUAUAUAGUCUGACACCUGCCCGGUGCCGGAAGGUUAAGGGGAGAGGUUAGCCGGCCACGGUCGGCGAAGCUUUGAACCGAAGCCCCGGUAAACGGCGGCCGUAACUAUAACGGUCCUAAGGUAGCGAAAUUCCUUGUCGGG